rnacentral:rRNA from 1 species
UACAGAGAGUACAAGCGUUAUCCGGAUUUACUGGGCGUAAAGCGUUUCGUAGGCGCUUCACUAAGUUAUGUUUCAAAGACCGGGGCUCAACCCCGGGAAGGGAUGUAAUACUGGUGGAGUUGGAAUUAUGUCGGGGCUAUUGGAACUGUCGGUGUAGGGGUGAAAUCCGUUGAUAUCGACAGGAACUCCGAGGGCGUAGGCAGAUAGCUAGGCAUAUAUUGACGCUGAGGAACGACAGCUAGGGGAGCGAAUCGG